UGGGGAAUAUUGCGCAAUGGCCGCAAGGCUGACGCAGCGACGCCGCGUGUGGGAGGACGCCUUUCGGGGUGUAAACCACUGUUGCCCGGGACGAACACACCAUUUCGAUGGUGCUGACGGUACCGGGUGAGGAAGCACCGGCUAACUCCGUGCCAGCAGCCGCGGUAAUACGGAGGGUGCGAGCGUUGUCCGGAAUCAUUGGGCGUAAAGGGCGCGUAGGUGGCCCGGUAAGCGGGUGGUGAAAGCUCGGGGCUCAACCCCGAGUCGGCCAUGCGAACUGCUGGGCUUGAGCACUGUAGAGGCAGGCGGAAUUCCGGGUGUAGCGGUGGAAUGCGUAGAGAUCCGGAAGAACACCGGUGGCGAAGGCGGCCUGCUGGGCAGUAGCUGACACUGAGGCGCGACAGCGUGGGGAGCAAACAG
rnacentral:rRNA from 1 species